rnacentral:rRNA from 1 species
AGCGAACGCUGGCGGCAGGCCUAACACAUGCAAGUCGAACGAAGUCUUCGGACUUAGUGGCGGACGGGUGAGUAACACGUGGGAACGUGCCUUUAGGUUCGGACUAACUCAGGGAAACUUGUGCUAAUACCGAAUGUGCCCUUCGGGGGAAAGAUUUAUCGCCUUUAGAGCGGCCCGCGUCUGAUUAGCUAGUUGGUGAGGUAAAGGCUCACCAACGCUACGAUCAGUAGCUGGUCUGAGAGGAUGACCAGCCACAUUGGGACUGAGACACGGGCCAGACUCCUACGAGAGGCAGCAGUGGGGAAUCUUGCGCGAGGGGCGAGAGGCUGGCGCAGGCAUGCCUCGUGCAUGGUGAAGGUCUUAGGAUUGUGAAAUCCUUUCUCCGGUGAAGAUAGUGACUGUAGCCGGAGAAGCAGCCCCGGCUAACGUCGUGCCAUCCGCCGCAGUAAGAC